GCGAGCCACGGGCCUCGCUGCGGGUUCAAGUGCGUCCGGGUUUGGACGUCGCGGCUCCAGGAGUGUGCUCUCUCUCCUGCCCAUCCCCUCCCCGGAGUUCAGCGCAUCCGGGGCCCCGGGGACCCCUCUUCCCGGCCCUCCUGGCCGCGCUGGCCCGCCCGCAUGGGGCCGAGGUUCCUGGCCGACGCGCGAGGGCGCGGGCGGGUACCGGGUUCCCGUUUUUCCCAGGCCCCGAUCCCCGCCCACGCACGAGGCCCCCGGCCCACGCACGAGGCGCCCACGCCCAUCGUGGAGGCUCCGCCUGGAAAAGAAGUCCGACUUCCUCUCCAAGCUGCUCCGAGGGGAAUGGGGAAUCGGCAGGAAAUGACCCGAACUGCCAGCCUGCGCCUUUGCAGCCGGCCCUCGCUUUGCUGAAGACGAGCAGCUCCCACCAAAGUCUUGCCUCCCCUUACCCCGAAAGCCCCGCUCAGUUCAAUAUUUCAAGUGAAAAUCUGCCUGUUCGAAAAGAAAAUAUUCACAAAUGAGCAGUGUAUUAGAAGACAACUGAAUUGCUUCUAAGAAUGGGUCUCACUCUGCCAUCACCCAGGCUGGAGUGUGGUGGCACCAUCAUGGCUCACUGCAGCCUUGAACUCCUGAGCUCAAGUCAUCCUCCCACCUCAGCCUUCCGAGUAGCUGGAACUGCAGGUGUGAGCCACCAUGCCUGGCUGAUUUGUCUUUUUAAAUUUUUUAUAGAGACCGAGUCUCAACUAUAUUGUCCAGGCUGGAAAAGAACUUCUUUCCCUCCAAGUGAUAACCUUUUCCAGACAAGUCAGCUUAAAAACUGACCCAAAGGCCCUGAAGUACACAGUUUUCUUGGAGAAAGAAAAAAAUAAGUGAAAAGGACUUGCUGACUUGCUAAUUCAUUUUGGGGCCUGUGGGUAACAUCAGAAUGGCAAAGCACUUGGGGCUUUUUUCUAAUUUGUAUUUUUUUAAUCUUCUGAGAAAUGACUUUUAUAUGCCAAGAUUCAUUCCAUGAUUAGUUUUUAUGACCAAGUUAUGAACGCUUUUGAAUAUGGGGACCUAGAAUAGAAAUGCUAACCUACCUGCAAGGAGAGCUCUGUGAUUGGCAUCCCCAUCAUGCUGUAACUGACACAAAAUAAACUUAGGGUAAUUGCCGCAUAGUGUAACUUUAAUGUGUGAGCAUACUGUAACAUCUGACAAGCUUCUUGAUCUAGAUCAGCAAUGUGUAACCCAUUCAUUGUUGUCACUCUCAACAAGGCCUUAUGGUCAAACAUCAUCACUCUCACUAAAGAGAUAGUUUACUGAAAUAUACUGAGAUUUUGAAACUGGAGUCAAGAGGUAGCACACUGUUUUAUGUUGAUCCAUUUAAUGGUCCUUGACAGCCAAUAAAAAGACACUGGAAGAAUA
rnacentral:lncRNA from 1 species